UCACAUAUAUGUACACACACACACACACACACACACACACAGUGUGUGUGUGUGUGUGUGUGUGUGUGUGUGUGUGUGUGU
rnacentral:miRNA from 1 species